UACCAGCCCCCCGAGUGGUCGGGGCGUUUAUUGGGCCUAAAGCAUCCGUAGCCGGUUCUACAAGUCUUCCGUUAAAUCCACCUGCUUAACAGAUGGGCUGCGGAAGAUACUAUGGAGCUAGGAGGCGGGAGAGGCAAGCGGUACUCGAUGGGUAGGGGUAAAAUCCGUUGAUCCAUUGAAGACCACCAGUGGCGAAGGCGGCUUGCCAGAACGCGCUCGACGGUGAGGGAUGAAAGCUGGGGGAGCAAACCGG
rnacentral:rRNA from 1 species